CACGUAGGGCGCAAGCGUUGUCCGGAAUUAUUGGGCGUAAAGAGCUCGUAGGCGGUCUGUUGCGUCCGCUGUGAAAACUCGGGGCUUAACCCCGAGCCUGCAGUGGAUACGGGCAGACUAGAGGUAGGUAGGGGAGAAUGGAAUUCCCGGUGUAGCGGUGAAAUGCGCAGAUAUCGGGAGGAACACCGGUGGCAAAGGCGGUUCUCUGGGCCUUACCUGACGCUGAGGAGCGAAAGCGUGGGGAGCGAACAGG
rnacentral:rRNA from 1 species